rnacentral:rRNA from 1 species
AUGACUGUCUUGAGUUGGAACUGCCGGGGGCUUGGGAACCCCGAGGCAGUUCGAGAGCUUCGCAGUAUUGUGAAGCAAGAAGUGCCCUCUCUUCUCUUUGUCAUGGAGACGAAGAUUAGAGGAAGGAGAGUGGAAGAGAUGGAGAAUAGUUUGGAUUUUGGUGGUUGCUUUGCAGUGGACAGUAUUGGCCUAAGUGGUGGUCUAGGCCUUUUCUGGUCCAGAGACGUU